rnacentral:tRNA from 1 species
GCGGGCGUCGUAUAGUGGCUAUUACACGGCCUUGCCAAGGCUGAGACGGGAGUUCGAUUCUCCUCGCCCGCU